rnacentral:siRNA from 1 species
ACCAAUCGUGUGGUUAAUGUGGA